rnacentral:rRNA from 1 species
AUGUUGAUGCACGCUGAGGAGGAGAGCGCGCCCCUCCGCCGGGCCAUCGCAACGGGGUCGUCGCCGUAUGUGUUGGCCGCCGAGGCCGGCGGAAGCGCCGGAGAGAUGGAGAUGGGGAUGCUCCCCGGGUACCAGCGCCUGUCGACCACGUGUGACGCGACUUUCCCCGACGACGACAGCGGCGACUACAGGGCGUGGCCGUGGGCGUGCCUGCCUCAAGCGGUCAGGAUGCUCUGGGGGAUACUCGCCCGUGUCGUGUGGAGGUGGAGGGGCGAAGGCGAAGAAUCGGCGCCAGCACCGGCACCGGCGGCUGGGAAUGGGAGGAGGCGGUCGUCAUGGAGGCCGGACCCUGACGACCGGUGGCCGGUGCAGGGCUGGUGCUAG